rnacentral:tRNA from 1 species
AGGGGUGUCGACAAGUGGCUAAGUCAGCAGAUUUUGAUUCUGCCAUUCGAAGGUUCGAGUCCUUCCACCCCUGCCA